UCUCCUGGAAACGGGUGGUAAUGCCGGAUGCUCCGACUCCUCGCAUGGGGUGUCGGGAAAGAUUUCAUCGGUAUGGGAUGGGGUCGCGUCCUAUCAGGUAGUCGGCGGGGUAACGGCCCACCGAGCCUACGACGGGUAGCCGGCCUGAGAGGGCGACCGGCCACAUUGGGACUGAGAUACGGCCCAGACUCCUACGGGAGGCAGCAGUGGGGAAUAUUGCACAAUGGGCGCAAGCCUGAUGCAGCGACGCCGCGUGCGGGAUGACGGCCUUCGGGUUGUAAACCGCUUUUGAUCGGGAGCAAGCCUUCGGGUGAGUGUACCUUUCGAAUAAGCACCGGCUAACUACGUGCCAGCAGCCGCGGUAAUACGUAGGGUGCAAGCGUUAUCCGGAAUUAUUGGGCGUAAAGGGCUCGUAGGCGGUUCGUCGCGUCCGGUGUGAAAGUCCAUCGCUUAACGGUGGAUCUGCGCCGGGUACGGGCGGGCUGGAGUGCGGUAGGGGAGACUGGAAUUCCCGGUGUAACGGUGGAAUGUGUAGAUAUCGGGAAGAACACCAGGAG
rnacentral:rRNA from 1 species